rnacentral:rRNA from 1 species
ACGUAGGGAGCGAGCGUUGUCCGGAAUCAUUGGGCGUAAAGCGCGCGUAGGCGGCCCGAUAAGUCCGCUGUGAAAGUCAACGGCUCAACUGUUGAAAGCCGGUGGAUACUGUCGGGCUAGAGUACGGAAGAGGCAAGUGGAAUUCCUGGUGUAGCGGUGGAAUGCGCAGAUAUCAGGAGGAACACCCAUAGCGAAGGCAGCUUGCUGGGACGUUACUGACGCUAAGGCGCGAAAGCGUGGGGAGCGAACAG